GACCUGUCCAGGUCAAAAAUGACUGCAAGGUUCCCAACAGUACAACUGGAGGCCAAAUCAGUUCCAUCCACAGUAACUAUGUUGUGAUUCUGACGUGUUUAGGGUCAAACAUAAUAACCUGAGUUUGAUUUGUUUUUAGGAGACGACAAACUUCAUCCAGACAUUCAUGAAGUUUGGUGAUUGAUUUGCUUCGUUUAGCUUUAUAGAUAAAUAUAACUGGGUGUCAUAGCGGCAGUGGCGGCUGGUCAAUACAGGGGCGGCGCCCCACUACUAAUGACCAGAUAAAAAGUAGUUCUCAAACACAAUAUUAAAUUUGAAUUAAUUAUAACAAAAUAAUAAUAAAAUUAAUAAUAACGUUCAUAUUCUUUUGCCAUAUUAACAACAUUUAUAUUAUUUCAGAUUCAAAAUUAGUGUGUUUACUAAUCGUACACUUCCUGGAUGCGGGGCGCGGCCACAUGAGUGAUCAUGUGACUUCGGCCCGGGCUCUGAUUGGCAACUGCAGACCUUCUCACGGGGCGCAGCUCAGUGCAUCCCGGACCCGUCCACUUUUGCUGUAAACCAAUUAAUUUUGUCUUUAUUUGCUUUUGUCUUCUGUGGUUGGAUAUCAUGUCUAACACCAUCACACGGCCUGUCCCCUCCUCUUCUUCUAAAUGACAGCUACUGUCGUGACAGCUCAAUGCAUUUGUCAUGUCUGUCAAGUUUUUGUUUUGUGUACACAUUCUAUGUCUCGUCUUUCCUGUUUUAUUUUGAAUCACUAACUGGUUGUCUCUGUCCUAGAUUUACUUCCCGCACCUGUCUUGUCACACCUGCUCCCUGAUGGCUUUCCCUCACCUGUUUCCCAUCUCCCCUCAUUACCUCGUGUAUAUUACCUUGUGUGUCUCACAGUCUCGCUGCCAGUUCUUUGCACUUCACAGUCUUCGUACCAGCGUUCUUCAAAGCCAUAGUCAUAGUCUGCUUUGUUACGAUCUUGCCUUUCGCCUCUUGCUUUUUGGAUACCUCUGCUUGUUUUGACUGACCUCCUGUGUACUGAACCCUGACCGGUAAUAAACCUGCCUGAAUUUGCCUGAA